rnacentral:rRNA from 1 species
UGACGCAGGGAGGUAGUGACAAGAAAUAACAGUACAGGGCAUAUCUGUCUUGUAAUUGGAAUGAGUAAACUUUAAAUCACUUUGCGAGUAUCAAUUGGAGGGCAAGUCUGGUGCCGGCAGCCGCGGUAAUUCCAGCUCCAAUAGCGUAUAUUAAAGUUGUUGCGGUUAAAAAGCUCGUAGUUGCAUUUCCGGAGUGAGGGAUUGGUCCAACCUUUGGUUGGUACUUAAUCCUCUCACGCCGUCCUUGAGUGGCGCAUUCUGGCAUUAAGUUGUCGGGGUGAUAGUCGCUCAUCGUUUACUGUGAGAAAAUUAGAGUGUUCAAAGCAGGCUUAUGCCGUUGAAUAUAUUAGCAUGGAAUAAUAAGAUAGGACUAUGGUACUAUUUUGUUGGCUUGUGCACCAUGGUAAUGAUUAAUAGGGACAGUUGGGGGUAUUCGUAUUCCAUUGUCAGAGGUGAAAUUCUUGGAUUUGUUAAGGAUGAACGACUGCGAAAGCAUUUGCCAAGAAUGUUUUCAUUGAUCAAGAACGAAAGAUAGGGGAUCGAAGACGCUUAGAUACCGUCGUAGUCUUAUCCAUAAACUAUGCCAACUAGGGAUUAGCUCGCGUUCUUUUCGACCGAGUUAGCACCUUAUGAGAAAUCAAAGUCUUUGGGUUCCGGGGGGAGUGUGGUCGCAAGGCUGGAACUUAAAGGAAUUGACGGAAGGGCACCACCAGGGGUGGAGCCUG